rnacentral:rRNA from 1 species
AUGGAUUUCGCUAAGUUCGGCGUGGCGCUCCGUCUCCGCUGGAUGUGGUUAGCUUGGCAAGACCCAACUAGGCCAUGGGUGUGUGGGCCGCUCCCAUGCAAUUCGAAGGAGGAAGAGCUUUUUGCAAUGGCAAUGGAAAUCUCACUUGGUGAUGGUGCACGGGCCAGAUUUUGGCAGGAUAGAUGGUUGAAAGGGCAGUGCCCCAAAGUUAUUGCACCAUCCCUUUUUGCUGCCUCCACAAGGAAGAAUAGGACGGUUCGUGAGGCUUUGGCAAACGAGCGGUGGCUCUUGGACCUUGCAACGGGUCUCACAGUAGACAUGCUUCAUGAGCUUGCAGCGUUGGCAGGCCUGCUGGACGACGUGGAGCUUCGGCAGGAUCAGCCGGACACCAUCCGAUGGAGGUUCGCGUCUGAUGGCAAAUAUACUGCCCGUUCAGCCUACUUGAUUCAGUUUGAGGGAUCGAUCCCCCUUAAUGGCCAUCAGCUAAUUUGGUCUGCAUGGGCGCCGGGGAAAUGCAGAUUCUUCAUGUGGAUUGUCUUUCUUGGCAAAAUUCUCACGGCUGACGCUCUCCUACGUCGGGGUUGGGAGAACUGCUACUUCUGCCCUUUGUGUGUGCGCAACCUGAAAACCCCCUUCCACCUCCUCGUGGAUUGUCCGUGGUCUAGAUCCAUCUGGGACGGCAUUGCGUCGAUGGCCAAUUUUCCGUCACUGAACACGGCCACAUGGAGCGCCACCUCCGUCUUCAAGGACUGGAUGUUGGAGCGCAACGCGCUGACGCCGCCGGCGAGAAGAAAGGGCUUGAUCUCUCUCGUUCAUCUGACGGCGUGGGAGAUUUGGCGUGAGAGAAACCGACGGCUAUUCCAGCAGGAGGCAAUGACUAAAGCUGCGUUCAAGCUCAAGGUCAUGGAUGAAAUCAAGAUGUGGAACAUGGCCGGUGCUGGCAUACCUUUUGACCCAGGCUGA